GCUUACGGCCACACCUCCCUGAGCCACCCGAUCUCGUCUGAUCUCGAAGCUAAGCGGGUCGGGCCCGGUUAGUACUUGGAUGGGAGACCGCCUGGGAAUACAGGUGCUGUAAGCC
rnacentral:rRNA from 1 species